GCUGGCGGCAUGCCUAACACAUGCAAGUCGAACGAGACCUUCGGGUCUAGUGGCGCACGGGUGCGUAACGCGUGGGAAUCUGCCCUCUGGUUCGGAAUAACUCAGGGAAACUUGAGCUAAUACCGGAUAAUGACUUCGGUCCAAAGAUUUAUCGCCUGAGGAUGAGCCCGCGUAGGAUUAGCUUGUUGGUGGGGUAAAGGCCUACCAAGGCGACGAUCCUUAGCUGGUCUGAGAGGAUGAUCAGCCACACUGGGACUGAGACACGGCCCAGACUCCUACGGGAGGCAGCAGUGGGGAAUAUUGGACAAUGGGCGAAAGCCUGAUCCAGCAAUGCCGCGUGAGUGAUGAAGGCCUUAGGGUUGUAAAGCUCUUUUACCCGGGAUGAUAAUGACAGUACCGGGAGAAUAAGCCCCGGCUAACUCCGUGCCAGCAGCCGCGGUAAUACGGAGGGGGCUAGCGUUGUUCGGAAUUACUGGGCGUAAAGCGCGCGUAGGCGGCUUUGUAAGUUAGAGGUGAAAGCCCGGGGCUCAACUCCGGAACUGCCUUUAAGACUGCAUCGC
rnacentral:rRNA from 1 species